GCCUAUGUAGCUCAGUUGGUUAGAGCGCUGCACCGGAAUCGCAGGGCCGUAGGUUCAAUUCCUACCAGAGGAC
rnacentral:tRNA from 1 species